rnacentral:rRNA from 12 species
GCGGUUUCUUAAGUCUGAUGUGAAAGCCCACGGCUCAACCGUGGAGGGUCAUUGGAAACUGGUCGACUUGAGUGCAGAAGAGGGAAGUGGAAUUCCAUGUGUAGCGGUGAAAUGCGUAGAGAUAUGGAGGAACACCAGUGGCGAAGGCGGCUUUCUGGUCUGUAACUGACGCUGAGGCUCGAAAGCGUGGGGAGCAAACAGGAUUAGAUACCCUGGUAGUCCACGCCGUAAACGAUGAGUGCUAGGUGUUAGGCCCUUUCCGGGGCUUAGUGCCGUAGCUAACGCAUUAAGCACUCCGCCUGGGGAGUACGACCGCAAGGUUGAAACUCAAAGGAAUUGACGGGGGCCCGCACAAGCGGUGGAGCAUGUGGUUUAAUUCGA